AAGUUUCAUUUUUCUCUUUUAUAUCUUAUUAUCAGUAUGUAAAAGCUUCAUGCAAUGAACCCAGAACAACAAUCAGUUUUCAGCAGCGAAAGUGUUUUUUGUUAUGCAACUGAUGGGGACUUGGAGAUUUAUUCUGGGUUCUGUGUGCAGAACUUUGUUGUGAAGGAUCAGUUUGUUAAUGCAUGGGAAGAAUUCAACUCAAAAACCUUGAUCAAAUAGAUGAAGUUCAAAACCUUGUUCUUGUCCAAUGAAUUAAGUAUAUUUCACUUGUAUAUUUAUUCUUAGAGAAAAUGGUCCAUCAAAACAAAUUGCAUCAUGAUGGUCAUGUAAUUUUUGGCAACAGGAAUGCAGGUAUCAUGACAUUGGAUUGCUAGCAUAGACUCAAGAGUUCAGAGAGGCACUUACCAGUGGCAAGCAGACAAUGCUAGUUGUUUAUUAGGGCUUCAGCAAUUGUAGCAUCUGUAGUCGGUGAUAGCUAAUGCGUUGCUUGAAUCAUGCAAGAGCUUCACAUGAGAAGAAGAGAGCCAAAGGUAGCCAAGGACAAACUUGCCAGCAACUCGCAAACAAGGAGAUUUUGUUACAAGGCAAUGCCGGCAAGUCAUCCUUGGCUGCAUUCCACUCUCUGCCUCUUCAUGCAAAGCCCUCAGCAAGCAUCUUCAUUCCCUUAUUCCCCUCUAGCAGGUAUGCAGCCCUUUCCUCUCCAUAGCAGGUACGCAACCCUUUCCUCUCCAUAGCAUUCCAUCUUGCAACUUCUACUACGUGUUCUGGACAGAUGAAAGAGUUGGUAUAUAUAGGCCAGGGUAGUGUGUUGGUAAUUCAUGGAAUGUGCCUGAUCCUUCUGGUUCCUGUGGAUAGCCAAUGGAGUGAUACGGAGAGGAAUUCCCCAAAGUAUGUGAUACGCGCUGCCUAUUAGGAGAUAUUCCAAUUUUGGUAUUAUGCUGACUUGCUGAGGUCUCAAAAUGGACAAGUGGUCCAAUCUCCAUUACUCAUGGGAUUUUAGGCCUUAUAAGAAGGCUGUGAAGGUGGUCUGUGGGGGCGGUUUUCUUCUUGCGAUGUUUGGUAGGCUGUCAUGGGAAUAGAAUCAUGGGUGGAGGCCACACUGAGAUAUGGAGAGGGGUCAUGUGUGUCUCGUGAUUUCAAGGAUGAGUCAUAAGAUCCGCUUCUUAUUGACUCUGUCAAAUUUCAUAGCUUGCAUAAUUUGAAAGAGUGUUUUC